UAUUUAUACGAUAUCAAUUUAUUUACUAAUACGAUAUUAUGUGAUAUUCGUUCGAGGAGGAAAGAGAAAAUGCGAUCAUUCCGCUCCGUAUCCAGAAAGCGACUUCGUUAAAUCGAAUGUUGUCAUUUCUUUGGCCACGAUAUUCCACAUUGUAGCUGUUCUUAACAAUAUCAUCAACUUUUGAAAUUUUCUACUAUAAGAGAAAAAUUUUGCUUUGACAAAGAAUAAACAAAUCUCAAUAUUUCAUUUUAAACGAUUAUCCGAUUAUAAUCAACGAUAUAUAAAGUGGCACGUUGAAAGGCGUGGCCCUUGUUCAAUUAAUGUUCGCGGAACAAGAGUGCUCAUUAUCGGCGCUCAGUGUCUCUAUAAUUAUCGGAACAUCGCUACAGAAGCCUCUCGCGAUGCCUUUCCGGUUAUUCAAUCGCGUGCGCGCCAGUCACAAGCCGCUUCAAAGCGUCGUGUAUUUAUAGGUUCGUUAGCAAGAGGGGAAACGAAAAGAAGCGGGCGAAAAGCUGCGAGCAUCCUCCCUCGAAAAGCAAUGCUUCGUCCUUUUUCCAUUUCCGUGAACCGAGUCUGUGAUUUCGAUGUAGAAUGUCGUCGAUCAAACGAGACCGCGCUUACCGACCACUUCCGCUCGUCGGAUUCCAGUAUCCUGUUUUGAAUACGUGCUAUAGUGAGAUAACUUUCAGAGAUCACAGGUCAGGAUUCAUAUAAAAAGAACGAAGUUUCUACGAGUUGGUUUUGACUCGAGUACAAAUCAAGAUCGGGACUCUUAAAUCUCUGAAGAAUGGGAACGAGAAUUUCUUUCGGACCGCCUCAAAGUGUAGAGGCAAGCAUGGUACAAGGUGGCGCCACCUUGGCGGCAGUGGCCAACUUAACAACCAUGUAAAAAGCGACGAAAUCGAGAGUGUCGGUGGGUCUGGCGAAGAGACACGAUCAAAGAGGAAAAAGGGAACAGCCUAUAAAACAAUUGACGCUCCCGCGGUAUCAAGAAGUAUCCGUUAAACCUGUUUUCUAUUUCUCCUAACCCAUCGAAAUCCACUUUGAUCAAGUUGCCUUCAGAAGUGAAUGAAAUAACCUUCUUUUGCUCGCGACAUAACCUUUCUCUCUCUUCUCGGAAAAUAAUAAAAUAAAACGAGAUCAAGUGAUCACUGUGAAUCGAAGGGAAAUGGAAAAUACGCUUAUUGGACGAAAUAACAGGGAUAAAGGUAACCGCAAUGGCGAAUGUAUGCGUGUCGUUACAAAGGAAUCGUCCUUCGAUCGAGACGAAUAAACUCGACUCGUUGCGAUCUCUCCGGUGAUUCAGAGUGGCGAGCACAAUCGCGUGGAGCAAUUUUUGCAGAAGAUUUGACGGUUCUCCUCCCUUUUCCGUGCUGGCGCGUCCUUAUUCUUCUAAAUUGUUCCCAUUCGAGAACGAGCUCGUCCCUGAAACGCUCGUUCGCGCUUAUAAAUCUCAGCCUCGAGCGGUGACGUUCAGGAGGAGUGAGAGGCGGACGGUAAGUACGAAUAAGAGAAACGAGAAAGAGAGAAGAUAAGUAGAUACAAAUAUAAGAGCAAGAGAGAAAUGUGAAUAGAUGUGAAUAGAAGGGUGAGAGAGAAAAAAUAUGAGGGAGGAAUGAAUGGAGAAGAUAUACGUGUAAGUAAAAAUGAAGGAGAGAAAAUAUAAGUAUAAAUAACGAGAAGGAGAAGGAAAAGAAAUGUAAAUAUAAAUAGAUGAGAAAAAGAAAGGUGUAGAUAUGAAUAGAAGAAUGAGAAAAGGAGAAGAGAAUAGAAAAAUGCGAAUAGAAAAAUACGAAACAUAUGUGCGAAUGAAAAGAGUGAAAAUGACAGAAAAUAUGGAUGCGAUGAAAGAAGAUGAAAGAAGAGAAGAAUAGAAGAUGUAAAUACAAGUAAAAGAGUGAAAAGAAAAUUGAGAGAAUAGUUAAGAGAAUAGUUAAAGACACGAAUAAAGAAAUGAGAAGGAAAAUGAGAUAUAGAGAGAGAAAAAGAAGGCUCGAUUUAGAUGGAGAAAGGAAAGAACCGUUUCCCACAAAGUGGUCCAUCCACCUCUGCUAACCGCCUCUUUAUGGAGUCAGCCCUGUUCUGGAGACAUGGAGGUCAGAAAGAAAGGGAGAGGAACCCGUCCUCGGAAUUCCUAAUUCUACGAAACCGUCGGAGAAUUCCCGAAAGGUUCCAUUCACCAGGGACCCAAGCAUAUCAUUAGCACCGUUUCCAGGUACUCUGGGGACCCUCGUGUGAAUGGUGGCUUUGGCGAUUCUCUUUCUUUCUGUCUCUCUCUUCCUCUUUUCUUACUAUCUUUUUGAUCUUCUUAUAUUUGUGAAGAGGAAGAAAGUUAGAUAUCGUAUAAUGGCUGAUAAAAAUUUUUAAAU